rnacentral:rRNA from 1 species
UACAGAGGUCUCGAGCGUUGUUCGGAUUCAUUGGGCGUAAAGGGUGCGUAGGUGGCGCCGUAAGUCGGGUGUGAAAUUUCGGAGCUUAACUCCGAAACUGCAUUCGAUACUGCGGUGCUUGAGGACUGGAGAGGAGAGUGGAAUUCCUGGUGUAGCGGUGAAAUGCGCAGAUAUCAGGAAGAACACCCGUGGCGAAGGCGGCUCUCUGGAACGCAACUGACGCUGAGACGCGAAAGCGUGGGGAGCAAACAGG